rnacentral:rRNA from 1 species
GACGAACGCUGGCGGCGUGCCUAAUACAUGCAAGUUGAGCGCUGACGGUUGGUACUUGUCCCCACUGGAUGAGCAGCGAACGGGUGAGUAACGCGUGGGGAAUCUGCCUUUGAGCGGGGGACAACAUUUGGAAACGAAUGCUAAUACCGCAUAAAAACUUUAAACACAAGUUUUAAGUUUGAAAGAUGCAAUUGCAUCACUCAAAGAUGAUCCCGCGUUUUAUUAGCUAGUUGGUGAGGUAAAGGCUCACCAAGGCGAUGAUACAUAGCCGACCUGAGAGGGUGAUCCGCCACAUUGGGAAUGAGACAAGGCCCAAACUCCUACGGGAAGCAGCAGUAGGGAAUCAUCGGACAUGGACGGAAGUCUUACCGAGCAACGCCGCGGGAGUGAAGAAAGUCUUCGGAUCGUAAAACUCUGUUGGUAGAGAAGAACGUUGGUGAGAGUGGAAAGCUCAUCAAGUGACGGUAACUACCCAGAAAGGGACGGCUAACUACGUG